GUUGCAGUUAAAAGCUCGUAGUUGAACCUUGGGUCUGGCUGGCCGGUCCGCCUCACCGCGAGUACUGGUCCGGCUGGACCUUUCCUUCUGGGGAACCUCAUGGCCUUCACUGGCUGUGGGGGGAACCAGGACUUUUACUGUGAAAAAAUUAGAGUGUUCAAAGCAGGCCUUUGCUCGAAUACAUUAGCAUGGAAUAAUAGAAUAGGACGUGCGGUUCUAUUUUGUUGGUUUCUAGGACCGCCGUAAUGAUUAAUAGGGAUAGUCGGGGGCGUCAGUAUUCAGCUGUCAGAGGUGAAAUUCUUGGAUUUGCUGAAGACUAACUACUGCGAAAGCAUUCGCCAAGGAUGUUUUCAUUAAUCAGGGAACGAAAGUUAGGGGAUCGAAGACGAUCAGAUACCGUCGUAGUCUUAACCAUAAACUAUGCCGACUAGGGAUCGGACGGGAUUCUAUAAUGACCCGUUCGGCACCUUACGAGAAAUCAAAGUUUUUGGGUUCUGGGGGGAGUAUGGUCGCAAGGCUGAAACUUAAAGAAAUUGACGGAAGGGCACCACAAGGCGUGGAGCCUGCGGCUUAAUUUGACUCAACACGGGGAAACUCACCAGGUCCAGACAAAAUAAGGAUUGACAGAUUGAGAGCUCUUUCUUGAUCUUUUGGAUGGUGGUGCAUGGCCGUUCUUAGUUGGUGGAGUGAUUUGUCUGCUUAAUUGCGAUAACGAACGAGACCUCGGCCCUUAAAUAGCCCGGUCCGCAUUUGCGGGCCGCUGGCUUCUUAGGGGACUAUCGGCUCAAGCCGAUGGAAGUGCGCGGCAUAACAGGUCUGUGAUGCCCUUAGAUGUCUGGGCCGCACGCGCGCUACACUGAC
rnacentral:rRNA from 1 species